GAUGCUGCUAAUAUGCUUUGUAGAUUAGGGUAAGAAGAAGUUGCUUGAUGUGAUGAUGGCAUAGAAAUGAUGGGAGGUUGUAAACUGUGAUUGAAUGGUGGCAAAAAAUUACCAGAUGGUGUGUUGGACAAAUUUAAUCUUGCUACAGCUGAAGACAUUGGAGUUACAGAUGUAGUCAGUGGGUUGAAAUUUGCUGCUGAUGCAGCCAUGGUUGAGGUUAGUGCUUGUCCACUCCUUAGAAGUUGAGAUACUUCAGUAAUGGCUUCUGAAGUCAUGUUGUAAGCCCCUGCCAGAGGAGGAUCUUGUUGAGGCUCCAAUACCAUAUUAUAAGUUGUAAUUAUCAAGAAGUUGCAGAAUCAAGAUUGAAAGCAGCGGAGAAGAAGAAGAUUGGAGAAGAAGAAGAGGAGAGAAGAAGGUAUUCUCAUUGAUAGUUCAAACUUCAAAGAACUCAAUGGGUACAACGGCUAUAAGCCUGAAAGUAUAUAUGUAUUUCACAGUGUACUGACAUUUACAAUAAAGAAAUGAUAAUUCAAAUAGAUUGA